rnacentral:rRNA from 1 species
AGCGAACGCUGGCGGCAUGCUUAACACAUGCAAGUCGCACGGUCGGGGCAACCUGGCAGUGGCGGACGGGUGAGUAACGCGUAGGUAUCUGUCCAUGGGUGGGGAGUAACCGGGGAAACGUACCGGCUAAUACCGCAUGAAACCUAGAGGGUCGAAAGGACGCGAGUCGCCUGUGGAGGAGCCUGCGUCCGAUUAGCUAGUUGGUGGGGUAAAGGGACCUACCAAGGCGACGAUCGGUAGCUGGUCUGAGAGGAUGAUCAGCCACACUGGGACGUGAGACACGGCCCA